rnacentral:rRNA from 1 species
GGGGUGUGACUGCGUACCUUUUGUAUAAUGGGUCAGCGACUUAUAUCCUGUAGCAAGGUUAACCGAAUAGGGGAGCCGGAGGGAAACCGAGUCUUAAUUGGGCGUUAAGUUGCAGGGUAUAGACCCGAAACCCGGUGAUCUAGCCAUGGGCAGGUUGAAGGUUGGGUAACACUAACUGGAGGACCGAACCGACUAAUGUUGAAAAAUUAGCGGAUGACCUGUGGCUGGGGGUGAAAGGCCAAUCAAACCGGGAGAUAGCUGGUUCUCCCCGAAAGCUAUUUAGGUAGCGCCUCGUGAAUUCAUCUCCGGGGGUAGAGCACUGUUUCGGCUAGGGGGCCAUCCCGGCUUACCAACCCGAUGCAAACUGCGAAUACCGGAGAAUGUUAUCACGGGAGACACACGGCGGGUGCUAACGUCCGUCGUGAAGAGGGAAACAACCCAGACCGCCAGCUAAGGUCCCAAAGUCAUGGUUAAGUGGGAAACGAUGUGGGAAGGCCCAGACAGCCAGGAUGUUGGCUUAGAAGCAGCCAUCAUUUAAAGAAAGCGUAAUAGCUCACUGGUCGAGUCGGCCUGCGCGGAAGAUGUAACGGGGCUAAACCAUGCACCGAAGCUGCGGCAGCGACGCUGAUGCGUUGUUGGGUAGGGGAGCGUUCUGUAAGCCUGUGAAGGUGGCCUGUGAGGGUUGCUGGAGGUAUCAGAAGUGCGAAUGCUGACAUAAGUAACGAUAAAGCGGGUGAAAAGCCCGCUCGCCGGAAGACCAAGGGUUCCUGUCCAACGUUAAUCGGGGCAGGGUGAGUCGACCCCUAAGGCGAGGCCGAAAGGCGUAGUCGAUGGGAAACGGGUUAAUAUUCCCGUACUUGGUGUUACUGCGAAGGGGGGACGGAGAAGGCUAUGUUGGCCGGGCGACGGUU